rnacentral:lncRNA from 1 species
AAAAAAUUUUCGGUUGACAGAAUAGGGAAACUUCAUAUGUACAGUGGCUUAAUUCUUCGGUCAACAUAUAAUUUCCGAUUUGCAUUCCCAUCGAUCGACUCACAUUCGGCACAUAACUCGAGGCGACGGAACGAACCCGUACAAAUUCAAUUUCGAAUGAUGUUUUUUGGAAGUUAAGUCAGAAUUCCGAAAAUGAAUCUCACGCAUCUGCUCUCAAGUUUGAUGCUCGACAUAUGGGUACACCUAUUCCAAGUCCAAAACCCGGAGACAGACAAAUGCGUACAUAUAUUGCUGCCUAAACGCCUUACGUACAAGUGUUCAUAAAUAUAAAUUUACAUACGUAAGUGUAUACGUACAUAUACGCAUUUUGAGAUUGAUAUUUCACAUGAGAUUUCACAUUGAAGUUCGUAUAUUCUUUUAAUUCUGUCUGCUAUCUUUGUACAUAUGUAUUUUAUUUCAGUUCGUUUAGCUUUGCAAUUCAAUUGGGCUUCGAAUUUUUCACGCUUUUGCUAAAUUGGAAAGUGUUGAAACCGGCAAAAGGACUGGGCAGAGUAUAGUCACAAUUUGCAACAUACAAUAAAUUGAAUGAAAAGUGUGUAAAUGAAGAGGAGUCUUCAACAUCAGCCCAACGACCAGGCGGCGGAGAAGAGCACUAGAAAGCAAGAAAAUGUAAAUGAAAGUUAAAGAAAAUGUAAUAAUAAAAACAUCAGCAUAAAGUG